CUUGCUGGGGGGAUUAGUGGCGAACGGGUGAGUAACACGUGAGUAACCUGCCCUUGACUCUGGGAUAAGCCUGGGAAACUGGGUCUAAUACCGGAUAUGACUCCUCAUCGCAUGGUGGGGGGUGGAAAGCUUUUGUGGUUUUGGAUGGACUCCCGGCCUAUCACCUUGUUGGUGGGGUGGGGGAAAUGGCCUACCAAGGCGACGACGGGUAGCCGGCCUGAGAGGGUGACCGGCCACACUGGGACUGAGACACGGCCCAAACUCCUACGGGAGGCAGCAGUGGGGAAUAUUGCACAAUGGGCGCAAGCCUGAUGCAGCGACGCCGCGUGAGGGAUGACGGCCUUCGGGUUGUAAACCUCUUUCAGUAGGGAAAAAGCCUUUCGGGGUGACGGUACUUGCAAAAAAAGCGCCGGCUAACUACGUGCCAGCAGCCGCGGUAAUACAUAGGGCGCAAGCGUUAUCCGGAAUUAUUGGGCGUAAAGAGCUCGUCGGCGGUUUGUCGUCUCGUCUGCUGAAAAACCAGCGGCUCUCCUCUCCUGCUCUGCAGUGGGUACGGGCAAACUAAAGGUGCAGUAGGGGAGACUGGAAUUCCUGGUGUAGCGGUGAAAUGC
rnacentral:rRNA from 2 species